GGGUGAGACACCUUCCGCUAUUCGAGAGGGCGCCUGCGGCCUACCUUCUAAGGUGGAAACAUAAAUCAGUGUUCCAAAAUCUUUCUUUUAUAAGGGCAGCACUACACUCUGGGGUGCACAAGAAGCCUGGCCCAGGAUUGGGAUGGGACCUAGGUUUCCAUCAGCCCCAUCAGAAGGUGCAUCACUUCCACUGCAUUCUGUUGGUUACACAAGCAGCCCCCCUCAGUGUGGGAGAGGGCUACCCCAGGACGUGACUCUCGGGCACACUGGGACCACCUGGGAGAGUGGCCAGUAGUCACAUCGUAAAGGGUAUGGACCAGGGGCUUCCCUGCUGCUCCAGUGGUUAGGAAUCUGUCUGUCAAUGCAGGGGACAUGGGUUUGAUCCCAGGUCCAUGAAUAUCCCAUAUGUCAGGGGACAACUAAGCC
ensembl:lncRNA